AGUACCCCGCGUGCUUUUCCGGUUAGCAGAUAUGGCUCAAGGAUCUCAGAAGUUUAAAGCUCAGCGGCCUGGAGGCUCUAAAAAACAUCAACAUAACAAACAGAAAGGACCAAAGAAAGGGGGGAGGAUCAUUGCACCCAAGAAGGCUCAAGUUGUUCAGCAACAGAAGCUGAAGAAGGGCCUGGAGGUUGCCAUCAGGAACAGGAUUGAACAGGAGGUGACCCAGAAGGCAAGCUCAUCCCUCCACAAGCCACUGAGUGUAGUAAAAGGGCCGGAGGGUAAAGACAAACAAGGAUCAGCCCGACCAGGAACCAGCUCUAAAUAGCAACUCAUACACAACCGCGCAAGUGCCGAAGGAGCGCAGGAACCUGGGGAAGGAGUCUUUGGCCAUCAAAGUGUAGAUUCUCUGCUGCGCCAUGUUAAAUGUGUCAACAUGCAGAGAGUCCAUCACACUCAGCAGAGCCUCCCGGGUCUCAGCAUCCAAGUUUACCUGGAAAGGAAACCAGUGUCAACACAUAUGAGUGUGAGGGAGAAACUCUGUAGUCCUCACAGGCCAACCAAAACUCCAGGUUCUCCUCACUGAACUCCGAACGAAGGAACCCACGAAACAACUGCAGACCACCUGCCAGAAAGAUGAUCAAAGAGGAAGAAAGAAGAACAAAUCAGAGGUGUGGUACAGGAAAAGACAAACUCAAUGUCACAGUGAAAAAGAAAGUUACAAGAAACAUAUUCAUCACAUGCCACUUCUUCCAUGGGGAACUGUAAAAUAAAAUAUCUAUGGAAAUACACACCAUUAAAUAUAUUUGGUAUCCCAUUGGGAUUCAGGCACAAAAUUAAUGGUGUGAAUUUAGCUUUAAGCCAGUUAACAAGGAAGUGGGUUUUUCAUGCAAUUGAAUAUAUAUAUUAGAAUUACACUAAAGCUAAUAAGUUGCAGUGGCUUGUAUGCUGUGAAAUGAUCACAAGAAUAAAAAAGUGACCUAGGUUUUUGAGUUGGAAAAGUGCUACAGAAGUCCUCUUAAAUAACCAUAAAACUGCUGUUUAGUCCAGAUCAAACUGGUCUAAUAUUCAACAGCACACAAAAUUUCACUGCUACAUGUUUGUAAUUUACAAAAUGCUAAUUUCAAUAAAACAAUGUUAUUAAUUUUA